ensembl:lncRNA
CCCCGGCCGCGGGGACCCGGGGACGCCGCCCGCCGCCCGCCGCCCGCCCGGCUCGGCGCCCUCUCUCCAGCCACACCGCGCAGAAAUUUAGGUCAAGGACGUCGCGAUCAGACCCAAACCCCGGCGCCCCUCUGCGGGCCCGAGACGCCCCCGCCCCCCGCCGCCCGGCCUCGGGGAGCCCCAGGAUUGCGGAGACCCUCCCGCACCCGCGGCAGCCACAAGUUUUUAUUUCCCUUUGGCGCUGGAAGUUCUCUCCGCUCUCGCUCCACACCGGCACGUCCUGCGCCACCCCCCGCCCUCCCCGGCGGAGGUACGAAGCCCUCGGCCGCGCCGCGCCGGGGAAGGUUAUUUUGGAACUUUGAGAGACUGGCGAGAUUCCUCCGGGGAGAAGCGCCGAAGGAGGGGUGUCCGUGCUAACCGCACGGAGUCUAACAGCAUAGGGCCAAUAGGAUUAGGACACAAUGGAACACACUCAACACCAAAACUAUACCAAAUCCAGUGUGGGUCGUGGAAAAGUGGAAUAUUUGGAAAAUCCCAACACUACCCAAAGCCUUGGAUGACCAGAUUGUUAAUCUCCCUGCCUCUUAUUUUUGGGAUAAUUCCUCACUAACAGGAUUGAUGGGGUGAAAGGAGAGAUUGAAGUAAGUAAAUAUAAAAGUCUCCUUUUGACUGCAAACCUAUGUGGGAUGUGCUUAUUAUCAAUCAUUACUUGCUAUGAUUUUUUUUUUUUUUUAAGGCACUUUAGAGCUUUAAACCACAAAGCCAAGCAUUUUCCCGUCACUCCAAGCUGCUUCCCAAAUCAUCUGGGGUCUGGUGUGUUGAAGAGCCAGUUGUUAUUAUGGUGAUUGUUUAUUAUGACUAUCCUCAAUAACAAAAUGCAGGCAACAAAGCUAAUUGCAUUUUGUUGGGGAUUUUUACACUAGAACCACAGACCAUCAGAGGUAGAAAGGCCUUUCCUGAUCCAACUCCCCCCACCGCCCCAUUUUACAUCAGGAUCCCAGAGGAGCCAAGCUGGGCAGGCUACACCCCACCCCCAGCAAUCAGCCAGCUGCUUAGGGGGGCUCUGGCCAUCACUCUGCUGCCCUUUGGCUCUGUGGCAUGCAUAUUUAUUCUGUCCUCCACAAGGCAAGAGUGGGGUGCCCUUGUUCCCUGUUGUAGACCUACAUAAGCUGACACUGAACUGAAUUAAAACCCUGAGAGGGGCUGGCACUGCAAUUAUAAAGUCAGUGGUUGAGAAAGAGCUUGAUCUUAUAUUUCCAUUACUACAUUGCUUUUACUUAUUUUUCAUUUAUAUGCAGUCGUAUUUACUCCGCUCGGUCUAUAAUUCUAUGAGUUUUUGACAAACGCAUAGGAUUGGGUUAUCUCCGCAAUAACCAAUCCAAGAUGCAGAAGAGUUUCAUUGUCCCCCCAAAAAAUUCACUCCUGCUGCCCCUUUGCACUAUGUUAUAUGGAAUAACUUAUCAUUUAUUAUGCAUUUCUUCUCCAGCUCAUCCACUUAAUGCAGCCCCUGGGUCGGGAGGAUUCCAGCAGGACGAUGUCAGUCCUCUACCCUCUCUGUUGCCCAUGACCUCAUUAGACACUCCCUUCAUGUAACUCACUCUUCACUUGGCGUCCUUGAUGCUCAUGUUCUUUUGUUUUCCUCCUACCUCUCCAGCCAUUCCUUCUGUCUCUUUACCCUGACUUCUCUGCCUUUCCUUUAAAUACUGGUGUUCAUUCUCUCCCCCAGCUACACCCCCCCGGCCCCCGAAUGAGCUCCUCUGAAUGGUGGGUUUUGAUAGUACCUACUUGCUGAUACCACUCAAAUUAAAAUCUCCGGCCUGAGCUCUCCACGGAGCUAUUCACCAUCUCCGCUUAACCUUCCUGGACGUACCCCAAACUCAACAUGCAUGUCCAGAAACACAGGCAUGCGUUUUCCCCUUGAAUCUAAAAAACUCUUUUAAGUUUCACUACAUGGGUCAACAGAACCCCAGCCACCCUAGAGACGAGGUUGGCCCUUCUCCAGAUUGACAUCUUCCCGUAGGCAAUCCAUCAUGAAGACGUGUGUUUCACUUCCUAAGUAUCUCUCAAACCCAUCUUUCCUGCUGCUGCAUCCUACAUUUCCCGCUUGACCCCCUGUGAUAGCCUUCUGAGCAUUCUUCCCACACCAUCUCUUAGUCCGUUAAUGUGCCGGGAAACUUUCUCUGCCCAGGUUGAAUCCCUCUUGGUAGGCACUGUUAUCCUCUCAGAAUGUCCUCUGUGUACCUUACCUGUGCAAUCAUUUGCUUUGUUGCUCAUCUCCUCCACCAAACCAUGAGCCUUGCUCUCCACAUAUUAGCACAGUGCCUGUAUUAGUGCAUGGUUGACACUCAAUAAAUCUUUGUUGAACAAAUGAAAGGAUGAAUGA